CAGUCGCCGCGGGAAUACGUAGGUGGCAAGCGUUGUCCGGAAUUAUUGGGCGUAAAGGGCUCGCAGGCGGUUUCUUAAGUCUGAUGUGAAAGCCCCCGGCUCAACCGGGGAGGGUCAUUGGAGACUGGGAAACUUGAGUGCAGGAGAGGAGAGUGGAAUUCCACGUGUAGCGGUGAAAUGCGUAGAGACGUGGAGGAACACCAGUGGCGAAGGCGACUCUCUGGUCUGUAACUGACGCUGAGGAGCGAAAGCGUGGGGAGCGAACAGGAUUAGAUACCCCCGUAGUCCCUGUCUCUUAUAC
rnacentral:rRNA from 1 species